AUACGUAGGUGGCAAGCGUUGUCCGGAAUUAUUGGGCGUAAAGCGCGCGCAGGCGGUCCUUUAAGUCUGAUGUGAAAGCCCACGGCUCAACCGUGGAGGGUCAUUGGAAACUGGGGGACUUGAGUGCAGAAGAGGAAAGUGGAAUUCCAAGUGUAGCGGGGAAAUGCGUAGAGAUUUGGAGGAACACCAGUGGCGAAGGCGACUUUCUGGUCUGUAACUGACGCUGAGGCGCGAAAGCGUGGGGAGCAAACAGGAUUAGAUACCCUGGUAGUCCACGCCGUAAACGAUGAGUGCUAAGUGUUAGGGGGUUUCCGCCCCUUAGUGCUGCAGCUAACGCAUUAAGCACUCCGCCUGGGGAGUACGGUCGCAAGACUGAAACUCAAAUGAAUUGACGGGG
rnacentral:rRNA from 1 species